GCGGGUGUAGUUCAACGGCUAGAACCUCAGAUUUCCAAUCUGAUGAUGGGGUUUCGAUUACCCCCACCCGCU
rnacentral:tRNA from 1 species